AAGAUUUGAACCUUUAAAGAAUCUUUUUCAAAGCAGGUACAUCAUCUCUCAUGCUGUCUCGGUGAUACAUUAAAGGCUAAUUGUUCCAUAGCAUCAACAGACAGAAGAGGCAUGCUUCCAAUCUUACCCCAUAGAAGAAUUUUCUCAAGUGAAACUUUUCCUUCUUCAUGUCAACUUCAUUAGGGUCUCAUGUAGCCCAGCCUGGCCUCAGACUGCUAGAUAGGCAAGGAUAACUUUGGACUUCUGAUCUUCCACUCUCUACCUACCAAGUAUGAAGAUUAUAGAUUGCUUUUGUGUGGCUGUGAUAA
rnacentral:lncRNA from 1 species